rnacentral:rRNA from 1 species
GACGAACGCUGGCGGCGUGCUUAACACAUGCAAGUCGAACGGAAAGGCCCUGCUUUUGUGGGGUGCUCGAGUGGCGAACGGGUGAGUAACACGUGAGUAACCUGCCCUUGACUUUGGGAUAACUUCAGGAAACUGGGGCUCAUACCGGAUAGGAGCUCCUGCUGCAUGGUGGGGGUUGGAAAGUUUCGGCGGUUGUGGAUGGACUCGCGGCUUAUCAGCUUGUUGGUGGGGUAGUGGCUUACCAAGGCUUUGACGGGUAGCCGGCCUGAGAGGGUGACCGGCCACAUGGGGACUGAGAUACGGCCCAGACUCCUACGGGAGGCAGCAGGGGGGAAUAUGACACAAUGGGCGGAAGCCUGAUACAGCAACGCCGCGUGCGGGAUGACGGCCUUCGGGUUGUAAACCGCUUUCGCCUGUGACGAAGCGUGAGUGACGGUAAUGGGUAAAGAAGCACCGGCUAACUACGUG